rnacentral:lncRNA from 1 species
UCCAGUGAUUUUUGAAUUAACUUUGUCCAACAUGUCUGUACAUUCCAUAAGUGAAACUUGUUUUGCAUUCUCCACUUCAUUGCCCCUACCAACAUCACAAAUAACAGAAGAAUCAUAAUAGGGUUUCGGGGGAAGGGAAUAAGAUUUAGGGUAACCAUUCCAAUGAAUAUAUUGACGACCACAUAUAUGACAUAAAUGAAAUUCAUCAC